AGUGAACGUUGGCGGCGUGGAUUAGGCAUGCAAGUCGAGCGAGAACCGUAGCAAUACGGGGACAGCGGCGAAAGGGACAGUAAUGUGUAGGUACCUACCUCCGGGUUCGGGAUAGCUGCGGGAAACUGCAGGUAAUACCGAAUAACGUCUCCGGACCAAAGGUGUGAUUCCACCUGGAGAGGGGCCUGCAUCCUAUUAGCUGGUUGGCGGGGUAACGGCCCACCAAGGCGACGAUGGGUAGCGGGUGUGGGAGCACGACCCGCGUCAUUGGGGCUGAGACACUGCCCAGACACCGACGGGUGGCUGCAGUCGUGAAUCGUCGGCAAUGGGCGCAAGCCUGACCGAGCGACGCCGCGUGCGGGAUGAAGGCCUUCGGGUUGUAAACCGCUGUCGUAGAGGAGGAAAUGCAGGUGGGUUCUCCCCUCUGUUUGACCUAUUCUAGGAGGAAGUACGGGCUAAGUUCGUGCCAGCCGCCGCGGUAA
rnacentral:rRNA from 1 species